CCCCUGGUGGUCUAGUGGUUAGGAUGCAGCGCUCUCACCACCGCAGCCCGGGUUCGUUUCCCGGUCAGGGGA
rnacentral:tRNA from 1 species